GGUCAAGCUACAAAGAGCGCAUGGAGGAUACCUUGGCGCCAGCAGCCGAAGAAGGACGCAAUAAACUGCGAAAAGCUAGGGGGAGCCGUUAUAGGCUUCGAUCCCUAGGUCUCCGAAUGGGGCAACCCCGCCAGAGUAAUGUCUGGUGACCCAUGACUGAAUAAAUAGGUCAUGAGGAGGUAAGCUCGGGAACUGAAACAUCUUAGUACCGAGAGGAAAAUAAAACAAAACAGUGAUUCCCUUAGUAGCGGCGAGUGAAAGGGGAAGAGCCCAAACCAGUUCUACGCAAGUAGUGCUGGGGUAGCGGGACACCAUACGAGAUGGGAAAACGAUAGUUGAAGAUGCCUGGGAAGGCACACCAAAGACGGUGACAGUCCGGUAAGCGAAAUUGUUUGAACCUCAGGUGUAUCCCAAGUAGAACGGGACACGAGAAAUCCCGUUUGAAUCUGCCGGGACCAUCCGGUAAGGCUAAAUACUGACUGGCGACCGAUAGUGAACAAGUACCGCGAGGGAAAGGUGAAAAGAACCCCGGUGAGGGGAGUGAAAUAGAACAUGAAACCGUGUGCUUACAAGCAAUUAAAGCACUAUUUGAUAGUGUAAUAGUGUGCCUGUUGAAGAAUGAGCCGGCGAGUUACCUUAUGUAGUUGGUUAAGCGGUUAAUACGCGAAGCCACAGGGAAACCGAGUCUGAAAGGGCGUUGAUAAUUACAUGAGGUAGACCCGAACCCAGGUGAUCUAGGCAUGGCCAGGAUGAAGCGCGUGUAACAAUGCGUAGAGGUCCGAACCAACCGGUGUUGAAAAACCGGUGGAUGAGCUGUGUUUAGGGGUGAAAUGCCAAUCGAACUUGGAGCUAGCUGGUUCUCCCCGAAAGGCGUUGAGGCACCGCGUCAGAUCUAUCCUAUGGGGGGUAGAGCACUAGUUCGGUGCGGGCGGAGAAAAUCCGUACCAAAUCGAGUUAAACUCCGAAUACCCAUAGUGUCAUUAUCUGGCAGUGAGACUGCGAGAGAUAAGUUCCGUAGUCAAAAGGGAAACAGCCCAGACCACCGACUAAGGUCCCAAAAUUCAUGCUAAGUGAUUAAGGAGGUGGAGUUGCAUAGACAACCAGGAUGUUGGCUUAGAAGCAGCCACCAUUUAAAGAAAGCGUAAUAGCUCACUGGUCAAGCGACUCUGCGCCGAAAACGUACGGGGCUAAGCAUGAUACCGAAAUCGUGGGUUCGUACUUUACUGUACGAGCGGUAGGGGAGCGUCGUGUUGUAGGAAGAAGUACGACCGUAAGGACGUAUGGAUGAAGCACGAGUGAGACUGUCGGCUUAAGUAGCGAAAACAUUGGUGAGAAUCCAAUGCACCGAAAGACUAAGGGUUCCCACGGCAGGUUCGUCCACGUGGGGUUAGCCGGGAGCUAAGGCGAGGCCGAAAGGCGUAGUCGAUGCACAACGGGUUAAUAUUCCCGUGCAACCGUAGAUCGUUAUGAGCAAAGUCGGAACGCAGGAGGCUAUAUGGAAGGGGCGACUGGAUGUCACCUCCAAAGGCGUAGCUAGUUCAGGUAGGCAAAUCCGCCUGGGCGUUAUAAAGUAAGGCCGAGUAAGGAAGAACUCACGAGUUCAACUCCAUAGACGCCACGCUGCCGAGAAAAGCGGCGUUGCCAGAUCGAAGGUUCUCGUACCCGAAACCGACACAGGUAGUCUGGUAGAGAAUACCAAGGUGCGCGAGAUAACUCUCUCUAAGGAACUCGGCAAAAUAACCUCGUAACUUCGGAAGAAGAGGUGCCCUGAUAGCGUGUAAGCCCUCGCGGCUGAAGCGUGAGAGGGUCGCAGCGACGAGGCUCAAGCGACUGUUUAACAAAAACACAGGUCCCUGCUAAGUCGAAAACGACGUAUAGGGGCUGACGCCUGCCCGGUGC
rnacentral:rRNA from 1 species